GACGUGAUUGGUCAGGUGUUCUCAGGUGUGUAGGUGGGCGGGGAUUCAGUGUUGAGUGAAUCUCGUAGCCCUAAUCCAAACCUGAUCACUGAAUGGUCGUGAGGCAACGAGAGGAAAAUGUUGCAGACACGUCGGUGUUGAUCGAUUAUUUCAGAUUUGGAUCAUUAACGAGUGGAUAAAGAUCCACAGGAUUAAAGUCAUGAUGGAUGUGUCAGUCAGUUUCAUGGACUUGCUGCUGAGCCGCGAGGAGACGCAGCUAACAUCACGGACCACAGGUUUACUGGUUCAGUUGCAGCAACCUGGACAGAAACACCAGCUCUCACCUUACAAACAAAAUAAGUGUCACCACUUUGUCCAUGACCACAGAGUCUUUGUACAAUGAAGAAGUUCUUUGAGACCAGGACAGAGGCCUCCAGGUCUUCACCUGCUGUCAUCUUCUCCUGUAGGGACAAGAACAUGUGUUAAUAACAUAAACUGAUAAACUGAUAAACCUAUUUUUCCUUUCCUAAACUGUGCUUAUUAUUUUACUAAAAUGUUGUUAUUUAAUAAGUUAUUUAGCUAGUUAUUUUACUAAUAAACUAUAACAUUUUUGACGCCUUAUUAUGCUAUGACAUUUUUUGACCAUUUUUGACACCUUCCUAUGACUUUUUUUUUUUUUUUUUUACAUAUUUGAUGUCUUACUGUACAAUAACAUUUUUUGAUGCCUUGCUAUAUUAUAACAUUUUUGAUGCCUUACUAUACUAUGAAAUUUUGUGAUUUUUAGACACCAUACACAUUUUUUGGUGGUUUUUGACACCUUACUAAAAUAUGACGUUUAAAAAAAAAAAUUAUUAAUGCCUUAUUAUGCUAUGACAUUUUUUUGACCAUUUUUGAUGCCAUACUAUACCAUGACAUUUUUUGGUGAUUUUUCACACCAUACUAUACUAUGACAUUUCUUGACCAUUUUUGAUGCCAUACUAUACUGUGACAUUUAAAAAAAAAAAAUUAAUACCUUAUUAUGCUAUGACAUUUUUUGACCAUUUUUGAUGCUAUACGAUAAUAUGACAUUUUUUGACCAUAUUUGAUGCCAUACUAUACUGACAUUUUUUGACAUUUUUUUUUUUACCAUUUUUGACACCAUACUAUACUAUGACAUUUUUUGACCAUUUUUGACACCAUACUAUACUGACAUUUUUUGACCAUUUUUGACACCAUACUAUACUAUGACAUUUUUUGACCAUUUUUGAUGCCAUACUAUACUAUGACAUUUUUUGGUGAUUUUUGACGCCAUACUAUACUAUGACAUUUGUUGACAUUUGACAUGUUGAUAUUUUUUGAUGGUUUUUGACAUCAGUACUCAAAUCCAAUCUGUUAUUGCAUAUGUAGUCUUGUUUAUACUGCUCAUAUUGUUUGUAAUUUUUUUAUAUUGCUAUAUAUUAUUUUAUUUUUUAUCUUGUCUUCUUUAUAUCAUGCCUUCCUCUGUUUUUGCUGCUGGAAUUUAAAAUUUCUCUGCUGUGUGACUAAUAAAGGAUUAUCUUGCUAUUACCCAAAUAAAUACUUCUGAACACUUUA